ACGCGAGUGCGACUGUGGUAUCUGGAGGGAGUCAAAGGAAAGCAGCUGGCAGAGGAAAUGUUCGAAAAUAAUACUGUUAAAAGUCCGUAACUCUGCAGCUAGAGUAAACUCAUGGAAAGUAGAAGCAGCUGUGCAAAGGCAGGACAGAUGCAUCCCUCAGCCUCUCCCAGUUAGCAGUUGGGAUCCAUCCACGUCAAUUAUAAUCCACAACAACAGUUGGCUGAGUUUGAUUCAUUAUCUCAAGAAGAAGCGGCUCCUUGGCCCUCAACUGCUUCCAGAUGUGGAAUGCCAGAGAUAAUCUGUCCUUUUGGAUCUCGACAAGAGCGGUGGUGUCUUGCAGAAGCUAAAGGUCCGGAUCCGGCUACCAGAUUGUAGACAUCCUACGCAUGCACGUGAACGUGGAAAAAGAUGAGGACACAGACAAACACUUGUGCAACUUGAAUUACAGCACCCCACCACCAUGACCUCCCUCUCCCCUCCUCUUCCAUACCAACAGAGAAUGACUGGUUUGAACCAGGCAAAGAGGAAUUUCAGCACCAUCGGCCAAAAAAUCAAAGACUACAGCAGAGAUCACAUUGCAUGUCGAUGUAGUUUUUGAACUUACACUGAUAAAAGCCUCACACUGACUGCUGGGUUUUAUAGGAUUGGCUAACAGCUAGUGCUUAUGCAACAGUCGAGUACAGAAAACAUAGACUCUGAGCAGCGGCCUCUUGGAUUUCCCAAUGAAGUCAGUGAACCCUCUGCACUGUUAUUUGUGUUGAGUACAGGGGGAAAAAAGUUUACGUCACAUUUUAACCAUCAUGUUGUCUUGAGAAUGGCUUUACACUUUACACUCUCACUGGUCUCUCAGAUACUUUUUUGCUACAUAUAGAGAAGCAUUCAGUUUCUUACAUUGUUUUCAACCAUUUGAGGUUUGACCGACAUUCUUGUAUUUACAUCAUCUCAUUGUGCCUGGUUUCUUUGCAGUGAUUUAAUGGUAUUCAGCUGCGCCAGAAUUAUCUGCUCCACGGCAGUGGAUAGAAACACAUCUUUUAGACCUCAUAGAAACAAACUGUUAUAAAACUUCAAUAACACAAAUUGUAAUCAACGUAUUUGGGGAGUGGGAUUAGAAGUGGUGCAUAAAAAAAAUCAACAUCAAUCACAGCCACAGAGCGUCUUUACAAGCAAUUCUCAGAACAUUAGGGAAAGUCAUUAAGGUAUCAUGGUUAUUAAACAAUGUUAAGUAUGGUUUUCAUGUUAAUUUUCCCAACUUGAGGAUUCCAUAAAGUUGUUUCAAGUGGAGAGGACACAGACGUCUUUACAGUGACAUCUCCAGUAGCUGUCUGACUCUGGCUCUGCCCUGAUCAAAACACACAUGUGACAACCUACAGGUCCAUACAACACAAGUUCCCAUUUUGGAAACUCUUGCCCACACAUUUUCCCUUGCUCUUUUUCCCACACCCCACACCUCUGUUUUUCUGUCUCACACUCUUUCUGUCUGUCAGCUCUCUCCCCCCUGCCUCCCUCUCUCUCUCUCUCUCUCUCUCUCUCUCAAACACACAUGUGUACACAGGCCUUUUCCUGUACUCAACUCCCCUUCCCAGCAGAGUGAUGCAGCUUUGCUUUUAUGAGAUACCAGAGUUGGGCUUGCGGCAGGAUGACUGACCGACUUGUAGAGAGGACAGAGGAACCAUUUUGUGCCCCACCGCUUUGCUGAAUCCCUUUAAAAUAUUCAUUCAUAAACUCCUGGAGCCUUUUACUCCACAUCAAACACUAGACCCAUAGGAAAAGCACUGAGCUGAUGCAUCCAGAGAGGAAAACAAAAAUACAGGGUAAACAGGACCACGGGUGAUCACCAAAAUUAAUCUAAAUAUUUAUGCUCUAAAUAUACUCUGAUAUAUUCAUUGUGUUUUUAGGGAAAUGAUUUGGACCCAAAGUGAAUCAACAGUAUUUGAAUUUGGGAAAAUAUGCAAAAGCUGUGAAAAUUGCUUGCUCAUUUUGCAGAGCAGCUGUGUUUAUCCCUGUGAAAUAGUCCAAAACAAUUAGGUAUUUGCUUUUUUCCCCCCCUAUUUUUGCAACUGCAUAUUAAGAAAUGAAGCCUCAAAAACUGAUUUGGAAAAGUUAAGCAGAGGAGA